rnacentral:rRNA from 1 species
UACGAAGGGGGCUAGCGUUGCUCGGAAUCACUGGGCGUAAAGGGCGCGUAGGCGGCCAUUCAAGUCAGAGGUGAAAGCCCAAGGCUCAACCUUGGAAUUGCCUUUGAUACUGUUUGGCUUGAGACCGGAAGAGGUUAGUGGAACUGCGAGUGUAGAGGUGAAAAUUCGUAGAUAUUCGCAAGAACACCAGUGGCGAAGGCGGCUAACUGGUCCGG